UUCCAGCUAACGAGAAAGCACCAGAAGCGGCCUUUCGUGGCACACUAGCGUUUGUGGAAGCUGGCUAACACCGUCAGUGUGGCUCGGAGACAGAAACCUCAGGCAGAACCAGGAAUGAGAAAGGUGACUAACUGCUUUAAGUGAGGGGAGAAAGAAAAUGAUCAAAGAGAGAAACAGUGAUCAGAAAUAUGCAGCUCCAAAGCCAGCGAUACCUGUGGAAGAUAUCUGUUUAGUGACAUGUUUUGAAAGAUAAUCAGCAAUUUCCCUGAGGUUUCCACCAAGGGGAUCAAUAAAGUUCUAUUCUAUUCUAUUCUAUUCUAUUCUAUUCUAUUCUAUAAAACAUUUUACAUCAACCACAAUAAUUUCUCUUACCAUAUGGUCUACUGAUGUCUGGUUUGUGCUGUUAAAUGUCUGUUUAAUGUGCAAAUAAACAAGUGAUUGACAAAUAUCUAUAUGUUUUGUCGUAAUUUGCAGUUGCGUUUGUAACUCUUGUAUGAAUUCGCUUGUUGCAUUUGAUAAAUAAAUUUAUUUUUAAAAAAAA